AUAUCGUGACUGAUGAAUGUGCCACCGAACCUUGUGUAAAUGGUCAAUGCUUUGACGGUGUUGCCAGUUACACUUGUUCUUGUGAUACAGGAUAUGAAGGGACGAACUGUGAUCAAAAUGUCGACGACUGUGACCCGAAUCCUUGUUUAAAUGAUGGGGAAUGCUCUGACCAAUUGAACAGUUACACUUGUAAGUGUGCUGCAGGAUAUCAAGGACAAAAAUGCGAUAUAGACACCGACGACUGUGCCCCGACUCCUUGUUUAAAUGGUGGUGAAUGCUUAGACGCUGUAAACUCUUUCACUUGUUCUUGUGCUGCAGGAUAUGAAGGGGAUACCUGUA